rnacentral:rRNA from 1 species
GACGAACGCUGGCGGCGUGCUUAACACAUGCAAGUCGAACGGAAAGGCCCUGCUUUUGCGGGGUGCUCGGUUGGCGAACGGGUGAGUAACACGUGAGUAACCUGUCCUUAUCUUUGGGAUAACACCACGAAACUGGGGCUAAUACCGGAUAGGAGCUCCUGCUGCAUGGUGGGGGUUGGAAAGUUUCGGCGGUGGGGGCUGGACUCGCGGGUUAUCAGCUUGAUGGUGGGGUAGUUGCUUACCAAGCCUGUGACGGGUAGGCGGCCUGAGAGGGUGACCGGCGACAAGGGGACUGAGAGAGGGAGCAGACUCCUACGGGCGGCAGAAGUGGAGAGUAUUGCGGAGUGAGCGGGAGCCUGAUGCAGCAGCGUCGCGUGCGGGAUGACGGCCUUCGAGUUGUAAACCACUUUCGCCUGAGACGAGGCGUGAGUGACGGUAAUGGGUAAGAAAGCAACGGCUAACUACGUG